GAUGAAGAACGUAGCGAAAUGCGAUAAGUAAUGUGAAUUGCAGAAUUCAGUGAAUCAUCGAAUCUUUGAACGCACAUUGCGCCCCUUGGUAUUCCGAGGGGCAUGCCUGUUCGAGCGUCAUUAUAACCCCUCAAGCUCAGCUUGGUGUUGGGGCCUGCUGCACUGGCAGCCCUUAAAAUCAGUGGCGGCGCCAUCUGGCUCUAAGCGUAGUAAUUCUUCUCGCUAUGGAGUCCUGGUGGAUGCUUGCCAUCAACCCCCAAUUUUUCUAUGGUUGACCUCGGAUCAGGUAGGGAUACCCGCUGAACUUAAGCAUAUCAAUAAGCGGAGA
rnacentral:misc_RNA from 1 species